CAACUAGUAUCCACGAGGAUGCUGGUUCGAUCCCUGGCCUUGCUCAGUGGGUUAAGUAUCUGGCUACCCCGUGGAACAUGGAGCUCCUGGGCCAGUGAUCAGAUCUGAGCCACAGGUGUAAGCUAUGCUGCAGCUGUGGCAACCCUGGACCUUUUAACCCAUUUUGCCCAGCCAGGGAUCGAACCUGCAUCCUGAAGCUGCAGAGACCAGCUGAUCCCAUUGCACCACAGCAGGAACUCCUGGAAUGAAGCUUUUUAAUCUUGUAUUUAAUCCUAAUAGUUGAAUUAUGCCUAGGUCUGAUAAUAUUAUGAAGUUUAUUUGAAGUAUUAGGUAAAGAUUUUUCUAGUUAAACAGUUAAUGUCUUUGCCUGGAUGAGAAAGAAAAAAGAGCAAGUCUGCAGAUCAACCCUUUCCGGACUUAGAGCAAUUUAUCAGCCUGAUGUGUGAUGGCCCUCUCAUUUUGUGUAAUCACAGUGCAUAUAUAUGAUUUAUCAGAGCUGCCACAAAUUAUUGCUAUGCUUAAUUUAUUCAGAAUCUAGUUCUCUAUUUAUGUAUCUAAAUGACAAAUACUAAACACAGGGAAGGGAAAAAAAUCUGUGUUCAAUAAAUUGAAACAUGAUUUGUUAUAUACCUCAUAAAGUUUAGUGGCCUUUAGCUAAAGAGUCUAUUUUUGAUUGAACAAAGGGUUUAAUUAUUAUAACCAACACCAUUUCAGCAUUAUCUUCCCUUUGAAAUAUUGCAGUUAAAUUUUUCAGUCCAAGCAAUUACUUAUUUGUAAAAAAAAAAUGACUACCUUUGAGGCUUGAAUUAAAGAUGAUAAAAAUUAGCCAUCUAAAACCAUUUCAAUUUUAUGAAAAAUAAAACUGAGUGCAAUGUUUCAGCUUGAAAGCUCAGAUGAUCUUUAGGGGAAAUUAGUGAUGUUGCUAAUGGUAGUUCCAAUUUCAUAAGACACUAGAAGGAAGCAAUCAAAGAGGCAAAAACAAGAUAAAUAAUCCUUAAAAUGGAACAAUUAAAUAAAGAUCAGUUGUGACAAAAAUCAUGACAAUGUUCUGAGACUUUAAAAGGCAAUGUCUUCCUUUUUGUUAAUUAGAGAUAAUCUACAUUUUACAAUAUGUAACUAUUAACUAGGCGAUGGUAUGUUUUCUGUUGAUAUAGAAAUGGAUGUGUUUCCAGAUGGACUUCUGUUCAACAGGGGAGGUGGCUAAGGGUAUAAUUUCUCAUUUCUCUAGGUAUAACUUGGAUAAUCUCUAGGCUCUCCAUCAUUUUCGUCUUCAAAAUUAAACUACAUAUAUAAACCAUGUGCAUCAGAACUCAAACUAGGGCAAUAUAUUUUUUCAUUUGGUACAGAUAUUAAAAUACCUGCUUAUUUACACACACAGCCAAGUGUAAAUAUGAAAUGAAAAAAUGUCACAUAGGAUUCUCUCGGGCAAGUAUAUUCGCCUUCAUAACACUUCUGCCUGCAUUUCUAACUUCAUGAAAUGAACACUAUAUACUGCGGGCCUGACAGAUGUUGAAUGUGCUGUUGUUACCUCAUUUACAUAUGCAGAUGAAAAUGUUUCCCUUUGUUUUGCACUAGCUCGAUCUCUUAAUUUUGAUGAUCUCAAAAUCUGUUUUUAUUAGGUAUACAAGAAAAAAUAGUCAAUUAUUUCGUAAAGAAAUUCAUCCACAUAAUGUGCAUCUAUUCAUACACAGAAUAAAUUUUAAAUGUAUGUAUUACUUUAUUCUGACCCAUUAUAGUCACAGUGAUAAUAUUAGAGCUCUCUUGAUUCAUAUUGCUUUAAAAUUCAUGCAAAUGGGCAUAAAUACUAGUUUUGCCCUUUUGUUUAGCAUUUUCGUGCAUAUUUCUUCCCACAUAAGUAAAUAUUUCUUACUUUCGAAUUCCUUUUUUUCUUUCUGAGAAUUUAACAGGCCAGGAUAUCAAACUGUAAGCAAAAUAAAUUUUUAGACUCUGCCACAUUUACUUUAUUGAGAUGAAUAAAAUGCUAAAUUCUAGUAUAACCUUCUUUCCCCAGGAUAGGACAGCUAGGAGGGAGACAGCAAGGGCCUCACUUACAGAACUGCACUCCAGGGGACCUUCAGCUUUUUUCCUAGGGUACCAGCUCUCUGGUACCUCUCCCAUCCCUGCCCCAGGGAUUCCCUCACUGGCUGUGUCCCUCCUAUGGGCUUUUCAGAAGUUAAAAGCCCAUAGGAGGGACACAGAACUUCCACAUGCCAUGGGUGCAGCCCUAAAGAGAUAAUUUUUUUUAAUGGUUAUUUCCCCAAUAAAUAGAUUUAUUUUUUUUUUUUUUAUUAAAGUAUAGUUGAUUUACAAUGUUGCGUCAGUUGGAACAAAGAAUGACUUGAAUUUUGGAAUGGAUGGAGGAUUUGUGUAGUGGGAAACACUGAAAAUAUAGGCAGGACAAGGAUCAUAAGAGGCCUCACAUUCCAAGCAUUUAGAUUCUUGGGCCAAACUGCGCUGCAGUCAAACUGUGAUCCAGUCCCACAAGGUCUUAAUAAUGAUCCUCACAAAAUUGUUCCGGAGUUAAAAUGUCUAAAAGCACUCUAAUUACUCUUUUAGACAGACGCAGUGCAUUUUAGCACAGUAAAAAUGCUCUAAAAAGUGCUGCAAUAAAGAAAUCUGUUCCACCCAGAAUUUCUCAGAGUUAUUUGACCUUGGGACACCCCCUCAUCCUUUUUUCACAGAAUGCUUUUUGCCUUCAGCAAAACGUCUGUCCUAGGGAAUAAAGCCGCUUUAGGUUUGGUAGGGAUUUUUGCAGGAAUUCGAAGAAGGAACUAGUUCCCUAUACAAAGGCAGGUCCACAGGGUGGGGAAACUGCAUGAUCCUGGGACUGUUUGAAUUUACCAGCAUUUUUUUUUUUUUUUUCUUUUUAACGGCUGCACCUGUGGCACAUGGAAGUUCCCAAGCUAGGAGGCAAAUCUGAGUUGCAGCUUCCAGCCUUCCCCAUAGCCACAGCAACACUGGAUUCAAGCCACAUCUGUGACCUACACUGCAGCUUGGGUUAAUGCUGGAUCCUUAAUGUACCGAGGGAGGCCAGGGAUGGAACCAGCAUCCUCACGGAGACAACGCUGGUCCUUGACCCACUGAGUCACAACAGGAACUCCUUUAAAGUAUUUUCAUUGUAGAAAUUGAGACCAUAAAUACCAAUGAAUCAAGAUAUAUUUAUGACAGAGUUUUCAUGUGCAAAGCAAUGGAUAUGGGUGCCACAUGGAAUACACAUACAAAUAAUCAGUUACUGCUCAUGAUAAACUUAUAAGAGACUUGUAAGAUAUUUUCAUAAGUAACUAUAAUAUGAAGAGGAAUAUGAAGUGUGACAAUAAAGUUCCUACAAAGUGUUGUGGGCUGAAGAUGUGGCAGAAGAGAUGGGCUUUCUCAAGAACAGCAUUUGAAAUGAGAACAUCUCUGGUGGAAAAGGAGCAAGCGACGAAACAAGCUGGUUCUGAGCACAAAAGUGGCAGACUAGCAAGCGAAACCUCACGCUUCGAAGGUUUGUAUUUGACCUUCACAGUGCUGCUGACAUUUAAACAUUUAAACAGAGAUUUACCUAAACCCUGUCUUUCUAGCAUCUGUUGUGAAUAAAAAGACUUAGGAAUAAUAACCUGGGGCUGGGUAGAUACAUCCUCUUUCAAUAGACUAUGUAGGCUCUAGUUUGGCACAAUCUCACUCUAAUCAAUUGUCCUGGGACAAUGUCUGGAGCUGUUUAUCACCUAGGUGACAGCUGCUUUUUUUCAAGUAUAAGGAAGAGGAGAGUAAAAUUUUUCUUAUAUCCAUGUUUCUACAAAAAGUGGGAAAAAAGAGGAGUUCCCUAAUGGUGACAGUAUGUUCAGGACAUGGUGUUUUCAUUGCAGUGGCUUGGGUUGCUGCUGUGGCAUGGGUUCCACCCUGACUCAGGAACAUCUACAUGCUGUGGGACUGGCCGAAAAAAAAAAAAAAAGUUGGGAAGACAGAAUAUGUAGGCCACAAAUUUCAAGAACAAUGAGCAAGAGAACAUUACUUGCAGGAGAUAAGACUACUGUAACAUGUUUGAUGUACGUACAAAUGCAUCUGUUUUGAAAGAAUGUGACAUGAGUGCACUUCAGUCAUUUAUGUCAGCUGCUUGGCCCCCAUGGGCGUGGGCCUGAUGACUCCUGCUGUAAGAGAACAAGGGAAGUGCUCUCAGGGAGUCAAAAGGAGGAAAGGGUUUCAAAAAACAAGGAUCAGUCUAGAAAGAUUUAGUGGGUUAAGAGAACUGGAAAAGAGCCAUUGGACUUGAAUAUUUGGAGGCCAUUGGGCAACUUAAUGGUAGAAGUUCCAGUGGAGUAUAAGGGUGGAAGCCAUUGACUGAUGAAGAUGAAAAAUAGAUGAAGGAACUAGAAUCCAUGAAAACUGCUUAGCACAGGGAUUCAGUGGGAAAUUUUGUUUUAUUUUUUGUUUUGAUUGUUUGUUUUAAAUGUAAGUGGUCUGCAGGAGUCUUCAGGCCAUGACUCCUCUUCCUCCAGGGCAUUCCCUCCAAGGGAUCACAAGCACAAAGAUUUAUGGUAGAAGAAGUAUUAUUUUCAUUAACCUGAGAGAACAUUCCACACCUCUCAAUGCAGAGCUUAAAUAAAAACUACACAAUGGAAUACAAUUGAGGUCUAACACCAAAUUGGGACUUUCUGCUUCUUUCUCCAUGUGUUUAUACUUUUAAUACAGCUCAUAUUUGAGGAUGGGAAUUCACCAUUGCAUUGUAAGAAAAAGGGAAUCUGAAGUUUACCCAUUAUUGCUAAAGUCAAAGGAACAAAAUAGCAAGAGAGUAAAAAUUUGCCCCAAUGACUGGCGGCUUGGUCUAUGGUUGGGAAUUGCCUAUACCAGGCUGUCUUUGAGAACUCAGAAAGGAGAUGAUUUGUACCUCUAAGGAGAAAACAAAAGGAGUCCUCUUACGAGUCAUUGGAGCUAAAAUGGGGAAAGGAAGCAGGAACAGGAUAGGAGAGUGCUCAAACUCUAGUCUUUAGUACCAUCCAUUUAGUUGCUAGUAAAACUAGGGCAGUGAAUAUUUGGAUCUGGGCAAAAGGCUGUUCCCCACAAAAAUAACUUGUAUUCAAUGUGCAUGAUGCUCCCUGGCCCUCGUGACUGUUCAGAAUUACCAGUAUGUCCUUAUCAAGAGACAACAUACUAAGAGAAUAAGCCAGUUGCAUAAAGACAAGUGUGUCAUGACCUCACUUAUAUGAGUCAUUUAAAAUAGCCAAAUUCAUAGAAGCAAAGAUAGGUGAAAUGAUGGUUUCCAGGAGCUGGCAGAAGGGAAAGAUGGAGAGUAAUUAACCGAUGAGCAUAAAGUUUCAGUUAAACACGGUGAAUAAGCUCUUGAGAUCUCCUGCAUGACACUGCACAGCACAAGUAUCAUACACUUAAAAAUUUAAGAUGGCAGAUCUUAUAUUAAGUGUUCCUUCUACAAGAAAAUAAAACUUAAAAUAAGACAGUAAAAAGAGAGCUUAGUGUAGUGGCAUAGGUGAAGCUUCUAAAGCAACUGACUGCAAUUCCACUACUUGUGAGCUGUGCAACUUUGCCAAGCAUUUUGAUGUCUCUUAACCACUUUACAUCUAUAUUGGAAGACAGUUAUGAGGGCCGAUGGAUAAUAUAUGUAAAGUAUUAAAUAUAUGUCUAGCACAAAAUAGGUAUUCAAGAAAUUAUACGUGUACACACAUGUCAAUAUGUGAUUUUAUAAACCUAAAGAGUGGGAUUUCCCAAACCAUAUUAUAUGGAAAUCAUUUUCGAUCAACUUACCUGAGAGAAACCAUUUCCUUACUAGGAAAACAAUGUAUUUCACUGGGGGAAGAAACUGAGGUUGAGAAGGACUAAACAACUUAAUCAAAGCCCAUAAUUAAUAAAUAGCAGUCCUGGAAAUUGUCGUCUAGGGCUGGGGUCAGAAAAUUACCAUAUGGUGGCCAAAACCAGCCAGCUGUCUGUUUUGUAAAUAGAAGUCUUACUGGAACACAUACCAUUUGUUAUUAUUGUCUGUGGCUGCUUCUGCGCUUCAAUGGCAGAGUUGAGCAGUUGCUAUGGAGACAGAAUGGCCUGCAAAGUAUAAACUAUUACUCUCUAGAAGUUCCUGUUGUGGCUCAGUGGUAACAAACCUUGACUAGAAUCUAUGAGGAUGUGGGUUCAAUCCUUGGCCUUGCUCAGUGGGUUAAGGAUCUGGCAUGGCUGUGUGCUGCAGUGUAAAUUGAAGAUGUGGCUCGGAUCUGGCAUUGCUGUGGCUGUGGUGUAGACUGACAGCUGCAGCUCCAAUUUGAACUCUAGCCUGGGAACCUCCAUAUGCCGCAGGAGCGGCCCUAGAAAAG
rnacentral:lncRNA from 1 species